GCUGCCGCUUCGGCUGCUAUCUUUAACCGGCAGCGAAUCCCCCUGAGCGGCGGGGCGCAGAGUCGAUAUCUGCCUGAGAGCGCAAACAAACAUGACCUGGUUUGUUUACCGGGAGGCACCCGGCGCUGCAACUUCAGUUACGCUCUUUAUCCGCGUCGUCGGCACCGUAAUAGAG
rfam:Erwinia sp. EM595 isolate E_g_EM595 genome assembly, chromosome: 1